rnacentral:rRNA from 1 species
AGACCCGAAAACGAAUGAGCUUACCAUGAGCAGGUUGAAAGUAAGGUAACACUUACCGGAGGACCGAACCAGUUGACGUUGAAAAGUCUUUGGAUGACUUGUGGUAAGGGGUGAAAGGCCAACCAAAUUCGUAGAUAGCUGGUUUUCCGCGAAAACUAUUUAGGUAGUGCGUUGAAUAAAUAGACAUUUAGAGGUAGAGCACUAAAUGGGCUAGGGGGAAGAGAUUCUUACCAAACCUAAUAAAACUCCGAAUGCUAAAUGUUGUUCUUCAGCAGACAGACUGUGGGUGCUAAGGUCCAUGGUCGAGAGGGAAAGAGCCCAGACCACCAGAUAAGGUCCCCAAAUUAUGAUUAAGUGUGAAAGGAUGUGGAAAUUCCUUAACAGCCGGGAGGUUGGCUUAGAAGCAGCCAUCCUUUAAAGAUAGCGUAACAGCUCACCGGUCUAAUAGAGUUUCUGCGCCGAAGAUGUAACGGGGCUAAAAUCAUAUACCGAAUCUGUGGAUUUAUAAUUUUUUUUUAAAAAUUAUAACUGGUAGCGGAACGUUCUGUAAGCCUGUGAAGGGAUACCCGUGAGGGAUCCUGGAGGUAUCAGAAGUGCGAAUGCUGACAUAAGUAACGAUAAAAGAAGUGAAAAACUUCUUCGCCGAAAAUCCAAGGGUUUCUGCGCAAGGUUAAUCCGCGCAGAGUUAGUCGGCACCUAAGGCGAGGGCGAAAGCCGUAGUCGAUGGAAAUAAGGUUAAUAUUCCUUAACCAGAUGGUAGUGACGGAUCUUGUAAGUUGUGAGUUCUUAAUGGAUUGAGCUUGCCGCGAAAAGGUUCCAAGAAAUAGCUCCAUCAUUAGACCGUACCCUAAACCGACACAGGUGGAUUAAUAGAGUAUAUUUAGGCGCUUGAGAGAAUGAUGUUGAAGGAACUCGGCAAAAUACUUCCGUAACUUCGGGAUAAGGAAGACCUUUUUUUAGGCAACUAGAGAUGGGUGGCACAAGCCAGGGAGAAGCGACUGUUUAUCAAAAACACAGGGCUCUGCUAACACGUAAGUGGAUGUAUAGGGUCUGACGCCUGCCCGGUGCUGGAAGGUUAAUGCGGUUGGUGCAAGCUAACUUCUGAAGCCCCAGUAAACGGCGGCCGUAACUAUAACGGUCCUAAGGUAGCGAAAUUCCUUGUCGGGUAAGUUCCGACCUGCAUGAAUGGCGUAACGAUUUCUCCGCUGUCUCCAACAUCAACUCAGUGAAAUUGAAUUCUCCGUGAAGAUGCGGAGUUCGCGUAGUUAGACGGAAAGACCCCGUGCACCUUUACUGCAACUUUACAUUGGUAUUAGGAAAAACAUAUUUAGUAUAGGAGGGAGACAUUGAAGCAAAGGCGUCAGCUUUUGUGGAGUCACCAGUGAAAUACCUCUUUUGUUUUUCUUGGUAUCUAACUGAUUGCCGUUAUCCGGCAUCAAGACAUUGUAUGGUGGGUAGUUUGACUGGGGCGGUCGCCUCCCAAAUAGUAACGGAG